GACGAACGCUGGCGGCGUGCCUAAUACAUGCAAGUAGAACGCUGAAGGAGGAGCUUGCUCUUCUGGAUGAGUUGCGAACGGGUGAGUAACGCGUAGGUAACCUGCCUGGUAGCGGGGGAUAACUAUUGGAAACGAUAGCUAAUACCGCAUAACAGUAGAUGUUGCAUGACAUUUGCUUAAAAGGUGCAAUUGCACCACUACCAGAUGGACCUGCGUUGUAUUAGCUAGUUGGUGGGGUAACGGCUCACCAAGGCGACGAUACAUAGCCGACCUGAGAGGGUGCUCGGCCACACUGGGACUGAGACACGGCCCAGACUCCUACGGGAGGCAGCAGUAGGGAAUCUUCGGCAAUAGACGGAAGUCUGACCGAGCAACGCCGCGUGAGUGAAGAAGGUUGUCGGAUCGUAAAGCUCUGUUGUAAGAGAAGAACGAGUGUGAGAGUGGAAAGUUCACACUGUGGCGGUAUCUUACCAGAAAGGGACGGCUAACUACGUG
rnacentral:rRNA from 1 species